CAGUCGCCACGGUAAUACAGAGGGUGCGAGCGUUAAUCGGAUUUACUGGGCGUAAAGCGUGCGUAGGUGGUUUGUUAAGUUGGAUGUGAAAGCCCCGGGCUCAACCUGGGAACUGCAUCCAAAACUGGCAAGCUAGAGUACGGUAGAGGGUGGUGGAAUUUCCUGUGUAGCGGUGAAAUGCGUAGAUAUAGGAAGGAACACCAGUGGCGAAGGCGACCACCUGGACUGAUACUGACACUGAGGUGCGAAAGCGUGGGGAGCAAACAGGAUUAGAUACCCCCGUAGUCCCUGUCUCUUAUAC
rnacentral:rRNA from 1 species